CAGAACUUAGCAGACAGCGCCAUGCAGUUCUCUGCUGGCGCUGUCCCCUCUGCUCUCUCCACAGGUGACUGCAGCUGACUGGUGGGCGGGGCGCGCACACCUGUGGCUCGUUCUGCGAGUCAGCGCUGGAGCAUAAGAGCAGCGCUCAGACAGCCGGUGGAUGCCAGAGUGUUAGCAUCAGUGGUUCCCCGUGCCUUGAUCCAGCCGUGGCGCUUAUGCACUUGUCUUGCCAGACUUCAGAGGAAAACCAGUCAGUCUGACUCGCCAGAUUCCACCGGCUGUCCUCGACCACCUCGGGCGCUGCUCGGACCUCCCCUUGCUCCUACAGCUCACCUUCGCUCAGUCACCAACCUCCAUCAGAGCCGAAGGCGCUAAGUUCCUCCUCCGCUCCACUUCCCCCGGUCCGGUCCCCGAGCCUUGUGAUCGUCUCACCCCGGCUCCGUUCAGCCUUGAAUCCAGAUACUUAAAUUCUGUGAUCAGCCAACUCCGCUCCUGUAAAUAAAACCUUUAAACUGCUCAUUGUUGUCCCAGGUGUCUCUCUGCAUGUGGGCCAAAUACGUCCGAA